rnacentral:rRNA from 1 species
AGAGUUGAUCCUGGCUCAGGACGAACGCUGGCGGCGUGCUUAACACAUGCAAGUCGAACGGGAUUCAAUCAUUCGCAAGAAUGAGGAAGAUCUAGUGGCGAACGGGUGCGUAACACGUGAGGAACCUAUCCCAGUCUCUGGAAUAACAGGUGGAAACACCUGCUAAUACCGGAUGCCGUUGGACCGCCGCAUGGCGAACCAACGAAAGAUUUAUCGGAUUGGGAGGGCCUCGCGGCCUAUCAGCUUGUUGGCGGGGUAAUGGCCCACCAAGGCUUCGACGGGUAGCUGGUCUGAGAGGAUGAUCAGCCACACUGGGACUGAGACACGGCCCAGACUCCUACGGGAGGCAGCAGCGGGGAAUCUUGCACAAUGGGCGAAAGCCUGAUGCAGCAACGCCGCGUGCGGGAAGAAGGCCCUAGGGUUGUAAACCGCUUUCAGCAGGGGAAGAAAAUGACGGUACCUGUAGAAGAAGGUGCGGCCAACUACGUGCCAGCAGCCGCGGUGACACGUAGGCACCAAGCGUUGUCCGGAUUUAUUGGGCGUAAAGAGCUCGUAGGCGGUUCGGUAAGUCGGGUGUGAAAACUCUGGGCUCAACCCAGAGACGCCACCCGAUACUGCUGUGACUAGAGUGCGGUAGGGGAGCGGGGAAUUCCUGGUGUAGCGGUGAAAUGCGCAGAUAUCACGGAGGAACACCAGUGGCCGAAAGGCGCCGCUCUUGGGCCGUGACUGACGCUUGAGGAGCGGAAAGCGUGGGUAGGCAAACCAGGAUUAGAUACCCUGGGUAGUUC